rnacentral:pre_miRNA from 1 species
GUUGAAUAACAUAUCAUCCAAUCACAUUGAAGAUAAGUGAGUUGGAAUUUUUAUAUUUUAUUUAUUAAUUUAUUUUCAACUCACUUAUCUCCAAUAUGAUUGAAUGAUGAGUUAUUUAAC